GACCAGGAAUAUUAGGAACAGGUUUCUCUGCGCCGCCCUUAUACGGGUUGAGGAAACCAUGGGUGAUAGACUGUCAGAAGAAAAGGAGAAAGAGAGGGGGCGACUUCGAAAGCCCUCUUGGCGCUGAGAUUUCAGUAGACACCAACACGCCGCCGGGCAUCUUCUGGACACUUAGGAAGUGGGUAUGGGAUUGUAUGGUCUUAAAGGCUUAGCCUCAACCAGAAAGCUACAAGUCAGCGAGAAGCAGGGAGCAGUUUCACCUCCGGGAGCUGCGGUGUUCAUUGAAGCAUCAUUUUAUAAAAGUAGGAGAAAGAGGAGGACGUGGGGGCAGUGAGUCUUGAGGACAGGUUCUGGGACAACCGGCAAAGGAAUAUACCCGCAGCGUCUGGGGGAAGGAGAAGGCUCAGUGUCUGAACCUUUCCACUUGGUCCCUCAGGGCCUCUCCCGGUUCAACGAUCCCUCUAACCUACAGCCACCCGCAAGAACCGCCCUUUCUGCUCGCACCUCUUCGCACGACUCCCGCUCGACCGAGCACGGUGAGGGAACUUCUCUAAGCCCCGCCUCUCCUUGCAACCUGUGUUGGCCUAAACUGCCCGGCAACUGUUUACGUCACACGACCAUGGCCCUCCCAGAAUGGACGAGAUUUACUAGACAACCCCGCCCACUAGGCUGAAAUUACCCUCGGCAGGUGCCACUUCUGAGCCCGGUGAGCUCUGGGGGAAAGGACCCAGGCGGGGCGGGGCAGGUGGUAAACUGAGCUCAGCGCCUGGCGCGCUUGCACUUCCUCUAGUUGCGCUCGCCCUCCAUCUUCCACCUCAGAAAGGCCACCGCUCCGAGCUGCAACUGCUAGUGCUUGGAGGGCGCUGUAUUCCACUCUGACUCAUCCUUGGGGGCGGACGUGGGAGCAUGGGGAAGUGGCGGGGCAACCAUAGGAAACAGAAAACUUAAGGGAGGAUAUGGCAUAUUUAGGACUGUGAAGUGUGCAAAUGCUGGUGAGCCAUUUGGUGCACUGAAAACAGGAGAGACCACAGUUAUAAAACACCACCUUUAUUAUAAAUACCAAGAAUCCAGAGUGUGUUUAUGGGCCAGCAUAUGCCUUUAGUCCUAUUGGAAAGUAUUCUUUCUGUAUGUUCUAAAGUUCUUCUCAUUUUCAGGGUUCUAUCCACAACAAACCUGGCUCUAAACCCAGUUACACUAAGGGGUUAUGAACUCUGUUUUCUUCCAAGAAAUCUGCAUUAUCAAGAGGAGCUUGGAGACGGGGUAACACUCGUGGCAGAAUUUCAGGCAUCCUUCUAGGAUGUCACUCCUCCUAGAAGCAGCUGUCUAUUGUGCAGCUCUGGUAACACCUUUGUUCCCAAAUUCUCCACUACAGAGGGCAGAAAAACAAGGGAGGGAGGUGGCAUGUGCAGGUCUGAGAAGGCUUUCAUUCUGGAGCACCUGACCCGUCAGCAGCCUGCAUCAUGUCCCAGUAGCGUCCGUUCCUCUCCAUGAGCUGCUGGUGGGUUCCUGCUUCACAGAUGGUGCCUCCUUCCAGAAAAAGGAUUUG
rnacentral:lncRNA from 1 species